GAAAACUGAUUAUUCUAAUAAAAGCUGCUAACUUUUAAUUAUAGCGGUUAACACCGUUAAGUAUUCU
rnacentral:tRNA from 1 species